rnacentral:rRNA from 1 species
GACGAACGCUGGCGGCGUGCUUAACACAUGCAAGUCGAACGAUGAAGGAGAGAGCUUGCUCUUUUUGGAUUAGUGGCGAACGGGUGAGUAACACGUGAGUAAUCUGCCCCGGACUCUGGGAUAAGCGUUGGAAACGACGUCUAAUACCGGAUAUGAAGCGUGGAGGCAUCUUCUGCGUUUGGAAAGAUUUUUUGGUUUGGGAUGAGCUCGCGGCCUAUCAGCUUGUUGGUGAGGUAAUGGCUUACCAAGGCGACGACGGGUAGCCGGCCUGAGAGGGUGACCGGCCACACUGGGACUGAGACACGGCCCAGACUCCUACGGGAGGCAGCAGUAGGGAAUCUUCCACAAUGGGCGCAAGCCUGAUGGAGCAACGCCGCGUGAAUGAAGAAGGUCUUCGGAUCGUAAAGUUCUGUUAUUAGAGAAGAACACGUGUAAGAGUAACUGAUUAUGCGUUGACGGUAUCUAAUCAGCAAGUCACGGCUAACUACGUGCCAGCCGCCGCCG